UACGUAGGGUGCAAGCGUUGUCCGGAAUUAUUGGGCGUAAAGAGCUUGUAGGCGGUCUGUCGCGUCUGCUGUGAAAAUCCGGGGCUCAACCCCGGACUUGUAGUGGGUACGGGCAGACUAGAGUGUGGUAGGGGAGACUGGAAUUCCUGGUGUAGCGGUGAAAUGCGCAGAUAUCAGGAGGAACACCGAUGGCGAAGGCAGGUCUCUGGGCCACUACUGACGCUGAGAAGCGAAAGCAUGGGGAGCGAACAGG
rnacentral:rRNA from 1 species